AUUGAACGCUGGCGGCAUGCCUUACACAUGCAAGUCGAACGGCAGCGCGGGAGCAAUCCUGGCGGCGAGUGGCGAACGGGUGAGUAAUAUAUCGGAACGUGCCCCAGUAGUGGGGGAUAACUGCUCGAAAGAGCAGCUAAUACCGCAUACGACCUGAGGGUGAAAGGGGGGGAUCGCAAGACCUCUCGCUAUUGGAGCGGCCGAUGUCAGAUUAGCUAGUUGGUGGGGUAAAGGCCUACCAAGGCAACGAUCUGUAGUUGGUCUGAGAGGACGACCAGCCACACUGGGACUGAGGCACGGCCCAGACUCCUACGGGAGGCAGCAGUGGGGAAUAUUGGACAAUGGGCGAAAGCCUGAUCCAGCCAUGCCGCGUGUGUGAAGAAGGUCUUCGGAUUGUAAAGCACUUUAAGUCGGGAGGAAGGGCUGUAGGCUAAUACCUUGCAGUUUUGACGUUACCGACAGAAUAAGCACCGGCUAACUUCGUGCCAGCCGCCGCUGUAA
rnacentral:rRNA from 1 species